AAAUUGAAUACACUGACUGACGUCAUUGGUGAGCGCCUCUACUGGCCUUCGAAAUGGGCUCGACUCCUUGGUCUUGAUUUUUUUUUUCCCCCAAUUGUCCCUCCGAAUAUCAACUUUUUAUAAAGAAAAGCCUGUUCGCGAUGACAUUUGGAGGUGAAUUGGCAGACAAGGUCAGCCAGGUGAUUUCAGAACUGGUUCCUGAGCGGGCUGACUGGCUCGCAAGUUUCAGUUUCUGUGCAGUACAGUAAAGCUACUUGCUUGCUCAGAGGAUAGCAAUGAAACCAGCUCAGGAGCGCAACCAGGAGUGCCUGCCUCCUAAGAAGAGGGACCUCCCAAUUAGUAACAGCAGUGAAACUGGAGGUACAGGGGGGUGUGGGGCUUCAGGAGGAGGUGGUGGCAGUGGAGGUGGCAGUGUUGCUGGUGGUGGUAUUGGAGAAGAUGAAGUGGUUUCCAUCCAGAACUCUGCAGCUAACAAUGACACUCAGGGAGGGACCCCAUCUGGAGAGUGGCUGCGAGCUCAGCCAGGGCUUCAUUAUGCAGUGGAUAGUUCUGAUAGCAUACCAGCAGCGCCCCUUGACCAGUACAGUAUGUUCUACAAAGUGGCUCUUCCAUCUGUUACCUACUCAUCUACUAGUCUUCACCCAGUGUUAAGCCACAUUUCUCCAGCUUACACUGUACACUCUCCUCUUCUGCAGCAUCCAGGCCUUUCCUAUCCUCCUCUUGGUUAUGCCCAGAUUCCUCAUUCCUCUUUCCAGUUUGUUAGUCCCCCUUAUGCAGCGGUACCUUAUGCUCUACCCCCUGGCUUUGUCCCGGGAUCAUUAAUCUCUCCCUCAGGCAAUAUUCCCCAGCCCCACACUGUAUCCCACCUUGUUCCCUAUCCAUCUGUCAUACAGGAAGGUGUUGUUUCUCCACCACCCCAGGGCCAGGUAGCUGCUCAUACCUUUGCCAAAGUUGCAGCAUCCAGUGGUGUCUCACUGAUGCUGCCUUCAGAGCAAGCUGCUCAGCAGCACCUUAGUACUGUAGGAGUCCUGCCUGCAACAGAGCUCAGCUCUCGAGGCAUGUCAGUUUUCUACCACUCUCAGAGCACCAAGACUGCCACUGCCACCAGAGACGCCCACGGUGCUGAGCAGGAGAAUGAACCAGAGAUAAAUGGAGGAGAUAAAGAACAAGGAACAAGGGAGGUUGUACCAGACUCAGCCUACACUGCCAGAAAUGCACAUCUGCCACAGGUAGCGCCCAGCUCUGUAGUACAGGAGCGUAGCCAAGACAGAGGCCUGCAAAACCGAAGGCUGGAAGAGAGGACCUCACCUGGGCAGCGCAGCACUCCAGACAGUGACCUGGAGGUGCAACAGGUGGUUGGUCAUCUGGCUUGCUCUGGCCACGGUGGUGGUGGAGUGAGGAAGGAAGUCUCAUUUGCUCCCCUGAACCUCUCUCAGGGUGUCCAGAGAGCUAGAGAGGUCCAUAGAGAGACCACAAGCCUAAUUUCCGGCCGGACUGGAUACAUGGCCCAGCCUGCGUGUUACAGUGACCCCAGAGUGACCUAUCUCCAGCAGCAAACAGGGCAGCCUGGCCACACUGUCAUGCUUGCCAAUGGGCAACCGGUUCUUAUUCCCCUGGAGUAUCACCCUCAGCAUCACCCCCAGCCCCAGCCCCCACAGCAGCUUUACCCAGGACAGGCUAAUGAUGCCUCAGCCACCAUGGCCUCCCCUAACCCAAGCUUUAAAGCCUCUGAUUCUUCAGCCACAGUGUGCCUCCCUGAAAGCGCGGAACCGGCUACAGCUCAGCAGCAGCUUUCCCAGCAGCCUCCUGUCCAGCCUACAGCAGAUGUGACUCAGGCCUUGGCAUCAACCCUUGCUCCUGCCCCAGGUCCCUGCAACCCAUCACACUUCAUGAAGGGUGCCAUUAUUCAGCUAGCUACUGGGGAACUGAAGCGUGUGGAGGACCUGCAGACUCAGGACUUUGUACGGAGUGCUGAGGUGAGUGGGGGGCUUAAGAUUGACUCCAGCAUGGUGGUGGACAUCCGUGCCAGCCAGCAGAGACCAGGUCUUAUGUCGCUUCACUUCACUGUGGGGGAACAGCAGAGUAAAGUGACCAUUGAUGUGCCCCCAGAGCACCCUUUUUUCGUGUUUGGCCAGGGCUGGUCGUCCUGUAGCCCGGAGCGAACAGCCCAGCUUUACGGCUUUUCCUGCCAUAAUUUGCAAGUAGGAGAUGUGUGUGUGUCUAUAACCCUGCAGCAACAGCUUCAGCCACAGCAGCAGAAACAACCACAGCAUCAUCAUUCACAGCAGCAACAACAACAGCAGAUCCUGUCCAGGACUUUGAGCAAAACCAACAUUACAUCAGCUCCUGGCCAUCAGCUCAUGGGGCCUCCGGCCCCUCAGCAGUCACGGCCUCAGUCUCAUGUCAGGAUAGAUCGCAUCCACAGAGAAAGACAGAGGGAUGGAGAGAAAGAUGUGGUCGAUAAGGAGGAAGCCACACAUUUUGGGGUCGUUGGGCACACUGAGUCAUCCAUCAGACCAAGCAAGAGUGCGGUAGAGCAUCUGAGGAGCCAGAGCAGUUACCACCUACAAACAGAGGGUUCUGCUUUUAUAGGGGCAGGCAUGGGAGCAAUGCAGUCUGCCUUAGGUGCUUCUCAGAGGCGCUGGUCCUUACCUGGCCUCCAAAGAUACAGUAUGAAGGGAGAUGAAGUGCCACGCCCUCAGAUAAGCACCUCCCGCCACUCAAGGCCCUCUUUCAUCCCCCAGGAGGUAAAACUGUCCAUUGAGGGGCGCUCAAAUGCAGGGAAGUAGCAUCACAAUUGGUAGCAACUAGAGAAGAGACUGCCACAACUAAAAAUUUGUCUGACAAGGAGAGAGAAAGAGGUAAAAAAAGAGUGUGAAUGUAGCCUCAGAGUGUGAGAGAUUUUGCACACCUAAAGUAUACAAAAAUACAAGAUCUUUGUCUGUUUGGUGAGAAGUUCUGGGUGUCACUCAGCCAAAGGACACAGGUCUGUGGUUACCCUGACAGCUGAGGUCUAACAGGGACAUGAAAAGCUGAGUAGAAAGUAUGUAGCUGAUGAAAUGCCUACCACAUCCUUACACACUGCAUUUCUUUUCCUCUCUCCCUCCUUUGUGGUCACUUCCUCAUGCCCACACUUGGAGGUUACCAUUGAAUUCAGAACAUUCUUGCUUCCUUUUUGACCAAACUGGCUCAUUGGAAGAUCACUGACUACCAGAGAUGUGUUUGUAGCACAGCAAACCUACAAGCUCUUUUGGGUUCUGGUGUAUGUAGAAGACAGCCAGUCAUCUUUUAUCUCCUUUGUUCCUAAGAUUGUGUUUCCUUCAAAAGCAGUUACCCAAAAAAGAAUGGCGUUGUUGACAUCAGCAGCUCCUGUGGUGAUGUUAGCACUGUUGAUGCUGUCAGUGUAUGUUACAUUAUGCUUCUCUGGCAGUAGUCCAAAACGUCUGCUGUUGGCAGAGAUACUCUCCCCUCCUUCCUUUUCAGGAGGCCGGUCAACAAAGAAUGGGAUCUUCUCUCAGGCAAGGCCGGUGACCUUUGAUGAAUUUUCAUCACCAAAGCCACCUGUGGGGAGUGAACCAGAGAGAGACGUUGCCAUGUCACAUCACUGGCUGCAUGCCACUCGAGCCUAACCCCCAGCAGAGUGGAAAAAACGUGUAGUUUGCCGUGGAGAGAGAAAAUCUGUGUGUCUUUAACUUGAGUUACUUUGCUUAGUUACCAAAUUAAAGCAAUAGGUUUUUUUAACAGUACACAGCUCUUGUUCAUUUCCAUUGAUUUUUCAGUAGUUAUACACAAAGCAUGUCUUUGACAAGAAAUCUUGAUAGAUAAAACUGCUUCUCUUUGAUUCUCUAUCUCACUGCUGAGAUCUUAUUUUAAAUGGGUUUACUCAAGUGCAUCUCAAGAAAGACCUGACUCUAACAGUGAUCUUUAUCAAGUUAGCUUCUGUUCUGUUUUAAUGCACACAGUCCCUUCACUUUUGUACUAGGAUACACUUUAUCCAGUGAAUCUUACGAUCGUCUUGCAUUGUACAUCACUCACUGAUUUCACACUGACCUUGUUAAUAGGAAUCACAGUACAGUAGUUGCUUUUUUUAAAUGAAGGGAAUAUGUUUGAAGUAUUGUUGCUGGCAUUUUGUGAUGAGAAAGAAAAAACUGACUUGCAUUUUUAACUCUGUUUACAAAUUAGCCAAGUUGAAUGCUGCAGUUUCCUCUUCCUUCCUUUGUCACUGAAAACAUCCAAAAGAGUAAAAUUUAAAGUAAGUGCAAUUAGACCACAUGAAAUCAUUCAGAGGUUAUCAGAUGACAUUCCUCACGCAGACAUUCAGAAAGUGUAAAUCAUACAGUUGUCAUUAAAUCGUUUCAUGCAAUUUCUGCUAUUUCCUAUUUAUCAGAUGUGCUCAGACAGGAGGAUCAGUUAGUUUCAUGUCAGGCAAUUUUGAUUCUGACAUAGGUGUUGCUGCUACACUUGCAUAACAUUUGAAUUAACCUGUCCAUCAGCACCUCUUUAAGUCAGCCCUUAAACCCUCGUCAUUCACCGAGUAUACAGCCUGAUCCUCUGUCCGCAGUUAGAGGGGCCAUGAAAUGGGCCAAGUAGACUCUCAUCCUCUGGCACCAUCAUUAUCGGUAGCAUUAGAGGAAGGGUUCACAUUUUUUUCAAGCCUGUCUUAAAACAUACCUAUUGGUCCCUGUAACUAUUCCUACUGUCCUUACUGGCCAUGAUUCACUUUAAGCUGUUAUGAGGCUUCUGCAGUCAGUCAGUCCAAAUUGAUUUCGUCCACAGUUACUGUAGUACACAAAUCACUCUUUUUGUUCCUGUUCCUCCAGUGCAGCUCAGUAAGCCAACACUUUGGCCUUUUCCCCUCAUAGGAACCUACCAACCUUAACUGAACAUGUACCCCUUGUUGUGGGUUCUGCUUUUGUUUCCACUACCCUCAGCCCACUUUGGGGAAGAGUUCCCAGAGGUACGUUUUGGCACCUGUCAGGAGGUAGUGCUAAAUCAUAUUCCAGGAACAGAGGGGGAAGGGGGUAGAUUAAACACCAGUGUCCUCAUGUCUGAAGUACUAGGUACAAGUACGGUGUGUGAACGUGCAUGAUUAACGAGCAUUGUGCACGCUGUUGAGCUGUGUGUCUGUGUGUGGAGUCCAGCCUUGGCCUCACGUAAACAGUAACCAACACAGAAAAAUGUAGUGGAAAAGCAAAGCGGAACUGUUGGAUUAACAGUAUGGGAAGCUCCAGGUUACGGCUUGUUAGGUUCUCAUGAUGGAAAACCACUAACUGUUGAGGGAGAAGAGAACAUUUCACUAAAAUAGCCCCCUGUGGAAGGUACCCGUGCGAGUCUAACCCACUGCUGCUGAAGUUUCAUGUUAGCUUCAUUUGUGCACAGAACGAGGACUGUGGAUUUUGUCCUCCAUCCUAUCAUUUAAGCUAGAAUGAUGUCUGGAAGAGAUCUCUUCUUUCUAGUAUGGACAAGAGAAUAACCUAUUAUUGUAUUAAGACAGACUUGAAAAAUUAUUCUUUAACAUGCUUUGCAAUGGGAGAUAAUCUAUCAUAAUAUAAUAACCAUUCAGACAAUUUUUCAGCAGUUAAGAACACAUCAUCAGAAGCUCCACACACACCAAGGUUUUUUCAUGAUGUAAGCAAUACCUGAAAACAUUUCAUUUAGUCUUGGGAUUUUCUAUGCAGUAAACUCAGUGUUGUACUCUUCUUAAGUACAGCUCUCUGAAUCUGUCGGGCAGUUUGGCUGAUGCAGUCAUUUUACACUGAUGUCUGGUUUAAAUAACUUAAAAAAUAGGAAUACAGAUCUGUAUUUUGCUUUGUUACUUUCUGUUUUUUGCUUGGUGGUCCCCAUCUUCCUAGGAACAGCACACCAACAGAUGAUUUUAUCGUCAUCUUGUGAUGCAACAAAGCCAAAUCUCAAGACAAGUGUCACCCAAAUUUUCAUGUUUGUCCAGCGUUAUUUUGGCAUGUUUGCCAAGCCAUUUCAACUUUUUAGGUCAAGAUGCAUUUGGUGGGAUUUAAAUGGUGCAAGCAGUGCCACAUGUGACUUUACCUCCUGUUCAUUUUCACAGCAAGACCAUCCUGUGCAGCCGUGAGCUUGUUAUGUUUUCGCCCUCUGCUUUUUGAGCAGUGUACCACAGGAAAGCUCGACUCCUUAUUCACAUCACUAAUAGUCUGUUGCUGUAAGUAAUUGCACUAAAUGCCCUCCUUUACAGUGUUUUGUGAUGAAAACCGUUAGUAAGUUGAGGAGUUUCAAGAUGUAAAGCACACAAAAAUCACGGAGAAAUCACAGGCUGUGUGUUUCUGUAGAUAGAUGUAUUUUUUUGUAUAGCUAGUUUUGAUGCUUGUCGAUAAUGCCUUAAAUUGUGCUUUGUACAAUGUGUGAAACUGAGGUAAUGGAAACAUGCUUCUGGUAAACUUGGUGUUCCCUAUUCAGGCUGCACAAGAGCAGAUCAGAACUAUGAUGACUGUUGUGCUUUGGAGCAGAAAUUCAAAGAGUGACAGUGAACUCUCUCUGGGUCUCAGAUGGUUCAGUCAUGUGACUCUGCAACUUUUUGUUUUUAGCUUUUUGUCUUCAUUUUCUAUUGUUAGAUUUUUGUAUUCAUUCUAAAUACUUAACAAUUUACUCCUGUUUUUAAAUGCAUGGAAGUGAAGUAAAUGGAGGUUCUUCUCUGCACUUUUUACAAGAUGAUGCCAAGAGUGUUAACAGCAGAAGGAAAUCCAUUAAUUCCACACACACAGACAGAAAAACAUGCACUCUGUUUUUAUUUUUGUUGCACAAGAUCCUUAGUUGUGUUUUUUUUUUUUUACCCCUAAAAUUACUGGAUUGUGUUUGGUGUCUUGUGCUGUGUCCUUUAGUCUUGGGACUGCAGAAGGUGGGUCUCAUUAAAAGUGCAUAAAUCCGAUAUCUCUCCAUCGGUGGUAAUAUGAUGGUUGAUUGCGUUUUGUGACGUGGCAGUGGGGAUUUUCACUCCGUGUGUGAACUGCUUCCUAUUGUUUGAUCCAGUAUUGAACUGCAAAGGCGAAUCUAGAACAGUUUUGGUGUUGCUGAUGUCGAAUUAAAUCAGGAGAUUGAGAGCGGUUGAAAGUUUUACUGAAGUCUGUGUAUUUUCAGAUUUAACAUUAUACUUUUUUGGCACAAGGUAACUGCUUUUUAUGUGACGUGCAACUGUCUAAAAAUGAAACAAAAAACAGCAUUUUUUUUUUAAUGCCUAAAUCUGCAAAAUAUAUGCAAUGAUGUACACGUAACAUUCAAUCCUCAAGUAUAAUCCAGGUUGUAUGAACUUUGUAUAGUGAGUUUUAAUAUCAUAUGGCUGUACCAAUAUGUAUUAAUCUUUAUCAGAAGCCUUAGAGUUGUUGACCCAAAGUGCUCCCUUAGAAAACCCUUCGCCUACCUGACUUUAACAAAGCAUUAAUAUCUUUAUUUUGUUGCAAUUUUAUUUGUACCCCUUUUGAAUAAAAUAGAUUUGUACUGUAUAUUUGUACCUCUGUGAACUACUAGGGCAGUUGUUGGUUUUCUUUUUUUUUUUCUGUUUUAAUUCUAUGUACUUCAAGGACACAAAGAUAUUGUAUUUUUAUUGUUACAGCUAACUUGGAGAG